rnacentral:rRNA from 1 species
AUACGGAGGGUGCAAGCGUUAAUCGGAAUUACUGGGCGUAAAGCGUACGUAGGCGGUUCGUUAAGUUAGAUGUGAAAGCCCCGGGCUUAACCUGGGAACUGCAUUUAAAACUGGCGAACUAGAGUUGAGUAGAGGGGAGUGGAAUUUCAGGUGUAGCGGUGAAAUGCGUAGAGAUCUGAAGGAACACCAGUGGCGAAGGCGACUCCAUGGACUCGAACUGACGCUGAGGUACGAAAGCGUGGGUAGCAAACGGGAUUAGAAACCCUAGUAGUCC